rnacentral:rRNA from 1 species
UGAUCAUAUUCUUCGAUCAAAGAUUAAGCCAUGCAUGUCUAAGACUAAACAAGUUUCUAGUGAAUCUGCGUAUGGCUCAUUAUAUGAAUCAUUACUUACCCGAGCACCAUCUCACAACUGGAUAACCGUUGUAAUUCAAGGGCUAAUCAUGCAUCCAAAGAGGUUUAGCAAUAGACCUCUGCAUUUGUUAGUCUCAAACCAACAUUUCUUGGUGAAUCAUGACAAAUUGCGGAUCCUCAUGUUGCAAAAAACGGAGGACGACUCGGUCAGGUCUUUCCCCUAUCAGUUUUCGUAGGAAAUGUAUUGCAUUUUCUAGACUUUGACGGGUAGCGAAAAAUGAGGGUUUGAUUUCGGAGAAGGAGCCUGAGAGACGGCUACUACAUCUAAGGAAGGCAGCAGGCGCGCAAAUUUCCCAAUGCUCAUCGAGCGAGGAAGUGACGAUCAAUAACAAUGUGCGACUUUUAAAGUUGUGCAAUUGGAAUGACUACAAUGUAAAAGAUUUAAGGAGGAUCAAUU